GACUACCAUGGUGUAGUGGUUCAUGCAUUGGACUAGGACUCUGGAGACCAGGGUUCGAAUCCCUGUUCUGCCA